AUAGCUGAAAGUACUGUUUGCUGAUUUGUUACGAGAGGAAAACACUAUUAGCUGUCAAAUAAGAUAAGCGACCGCAAACCAGUGCAAGACGCGCCAACCCACCCAAGUGGGAUCGACAAGAGACUGGUUCAUGCACCUGACAUGCGGACAUGCAUGGUGCGGACUCUGCUGCUGCUAGUUUACUGCUCCUGCUAGUAUUACCAUUUUACCACUAGUCCACUCGCAUUGUAAGAAAAUAUAAUCACGCGUGAUUGACUGACUGACUGGUGGCGGCUAGAACUGUUCAGUUCAGAUAAGAGAUAUCACCAUCAGUUUGAGAGCUUCCAACCGAACACAGAUGCAUACGGUGACCUGUUCAUAGGGAUCUUUCAGCAUAGGUUCUAGUCUUCCAGAAGAUAAGUCAUUUCUUCGGAGCUGCAAGCUAAUAAAUAUUGACAUACCUUUCCAGGAAAACAAACGACAGUGUGACCCGUUGAUAUUUCCAGGUCUUAAUCUGAAACUGCACAACUUAUUUCUCAGUCAGAUAUUUCCAACUCCCUUUUCCUGAAAAGAAAAGAGAGAAAACCAAUUGUGAAGUAGUACCAUGUAUUGCAUCAUUUAUUCAAAUAAGUCCUCAAGAAAAGUUUACCAAAACAAUAUCAGCAUGUAAAUCAUAAAGGCCUCUCAAAGGAAUCCAUCUAAAAAAAAUGCUUGAAUCCAAUAGCCAGCUGGGUCAUUUUAUAAUUAAACGCACUCUCGAGAAUUGCUACCUUCCUUGCCUCCCAUAUCACAAAGCCAGUCGACAUCAGGUCAAUUUGUUAUUUCUAACAGCAUUCAAGCAUGUGACGUGAGCAAGGACUAGGAAGUUCCCUCACAAGAAUCUUACAAAGCCAGUCGACGGUGUUUUCUUUUUCUUCCUGGUGAAAGUAACUUUCUUCUUGCAAAGUUCCCUCACAAGAAUCUUACAAGCCAGUCGACUGUGUUUUUUUUCUUCCUGCUGAAAGUAACUUUCUUCUUGCAAAAACAAAAAAAAACAAAAAACAAAGACAAUGCAUGCAUUAUUUAAGACGCAUUCAUAUGUACUCCAUGUGUCCAAAGCCACAAGUUCACUCAAACACAAGUAUCACGCACGAUGCUACUUGUUUCCCUCCUCCUCCUACUUCUUUCUUCCCCAAAGCUGUUAGCUGAAGGUCCCUUCUGCAGCAAUGCUAACACCGCAUGCAUGCCAAGCAGUACCUACAUGUCCAACCUGAAAUCCCUUGCUGAAGACCUGAUUGGCAGCAUCACAAGCUCAAACUCACACUCAGCUCAUGGCGCAGCCGGAACAGGUGCUGGCAGGGUCUAUGGAGCGGUUCUAUGCAGAGGAGACACCAACCCAGGUAAAGAUUGUGCACGGCGCCUUGAGGCCCUUUAUGCAGCCAUCAGCAACAGCAGUAGCUCUUGCUCCUCGCAGAAGAACAUAAACCUUUUCGAUGACAGAAACCGGACCCAGCUAAUAUUCUCUGAUCAGGACUUCAGCUCCAGCAACGCUCAGGAAUGCGUAGUGAGCGGUAAUCUGAACCCUCCACCAGUUAGUGAUGAUGCUGACUCAGAGUUCGAUGUGCCUCUUUCCAAACUGAUGAACCAGCUUGCUGAUGACAUGGUGAGUAAAUCAGUCAGCAGGUACGAGACAGGCCAGGGCUGGCUCCCUCAAACGAAUCAGACAGUAUAUGGGCUUGUGCAGUGCACAGAUGAUAUUGCAUGGGAGGAUUGCGGAGGUUGCCUGAAGGGCAUUAUAAACAACAGGAAGCAGAUGGUUGGUACUGGACAGAUAGUAGGUGCAAUCCUAGGGAUGUACUGCAGCUUGUGGUACCAGACUGAUGUUAAGUUCUUUGCUGGUAAGCCGAAGUUGUCAGUAGAUAUGCCCGUAGACCCCCCACGUAAGUUCAUCUUCAAUCCUGAGUUGGUUGACUUGUUUCAAGCUUUCAUCUUCAUCUCCUCUAACCAUCUGAUUCAAACUAAACUUAGGUGAAUGCAAAAUUAGAUUCCCUCAUCUAAAAGACGAAGUGCCUCUUUUUUGUAGAAGGGUCAAAAUUGGGGUGCACAUACUACAUUACAACAUUGUGUUAAAAAUUAUUUUGAAAGCAUAGAAAAUGUUUCCUGCUUCCAUUACAAUCUACAUGUGUAUCAAUCUACCAUGUGACCCUCUUAUUAGGAUUUCUCGAAAUCCAACAUUGACUACUGACUAGAAUUUGCAUUGGUUAUAACUCAUAUACAUGGAUGUGCAGCAAACAAAUUUUGGAUCUGGGUCACUAUUGGAUCAUUCUCCAUCGUGGUUUCUGUUUCUUGGUUGCUUGUUCAUAUAUGGAUCAGAACAGAGAGAAAAAGAGGUAAAGUAUUAGUCUCAUGGCACUAACCUUGUAUGUGCUUUAAUUUUAAUGGUAAAUAAUGAGUACCAACAAAAUAACUUCACAAUUGCUUCCAGAACGAGCAAGA
rnacentral:lncRNA from 1 species